rnacentral:rRNA from 1 species
GACGAACGCUGGCGGCGUGCCUAACACAUGCAAGUCGAACGGGGUAACUCCUUCGGGGGUUACUUAGUGGCGAACGGGUGAGUAACGCGUGAGGAACCUGCCUCUCAGUGGGGGACAACAGUUGGAAACGACUGCUAAUACCGCAUAAUGUAGCGAGACCGCAUGAUCUUGCUACCAAAGCUUUAUGUGCUGAGAGAUGGCCUCGCGUCUGAUUAGCUAGUUGGUGAGGUAACGGCUCACCAAGGCGACGAUCAGUAGCCGGUCUGAGAGGAUGAACGGCCACAUUGGGACUGAGAUACGGCCCAGACUCCUACGGGAGGCAGCAGUGGGGAAUAUUGGGCAAUGGGGGAAACCCUGACCCAGCAACGCCGCGUGAAGGAAGAAGGCCCUCGGGUUGUAAACUUCUUUUACCAGGGACGAAGAACGUGACGGUACCUGGAGAAAAAGCCACGGCUAACUACGUGCCAGCCGCCGCAGUAAAAC